rnacentral:rRNA from 1 species
UACCUGCAGCUCGAGUGGUAACCGCUAUUAUUGGGCCUAAAGCGUCCGUAGCCGGUUUGGUAAAUAUCUGGGUAAAUCGUGAGGCUUAACUUCACGAAUUUCGGAUAGACUGCCAGACUUGGGAUCGGGGGAGGUCAGAGGUACUCCAGGGGUAGCGGUGAAUGUUGUAAUCCUUGGAGGACCACCGGUAGCGAAGGCGUCUGACUAGAACGAGUCCGACGGUGAGGGACGAAGCCCUGGGGCGCAAACCGGAUUAGAUACCCGGGUAGUCCAGGGUGUAAACGAUGUGGGCUUUGUAUUGGAGGUCCCACGUGGGCGUCCAGUGCAGAAGAGAAGUUGUUAAGCCCACCGCCUGGGAAGUACGGUCGCAAGGCUAGAAACUUAAAGGAAGUUGGCGGGGGAGCACAGACACGGGAGGAGCGUGCGGUUU